GGGGUAAAAAAGCAUUUUUCAGGAGAGGAGGAAGGUUUUUCAGAUUAAUUUCUGGGGAAGGUUGGCGUUUCCUCACAGAAGAAGCCCCGGGUAAAUUCCGGUGCCAGCAGCCGGGGGUAAUACGGAGGGUGCAAGCGUUAAUCGGAAUUACUGGGCGUAAAGCGCGCGUAGGUGGUUUGAUAAGCGAGAUGUGAAAGCCCCGGGCUUAACCUGGGAACGGCAUUUCGAACUGUCAGGCUAGAGUGUGGUAGAGGGUAGUGGAAUUUCCUGUGUAGCGGUGAAAUGCGUAGAUAUAGGAAGGAACACCAGUGGCGAAGGCGGCUACCUGGACCAACACUGACACUGAGGUGCGAAAGCGUGGGGAGCAAACAGGAUUAGAUACCCUGGUAGUCCACGCCGUAAACGAUGUCAACUAGCCGUUGGGACUCUUGAAGUCUUAGUGGCGCAGCUAACGCACUAAGUUGACCGCCUGGGGAGUACGGCCGCAAGGUUAAAACUCAAAUGAAUUGACGGGGGCCCGCACAAGCGGUGGAGCAUGUGGUUUAAUUCGACGCAACGCGAAGAACCUUACCUGGCCUUGACAUGCAGAGAACUUUCCAGAGAUGGAUUGGUGCCUUCGGGAACUCUGACACAGGUGCUGCAUGGCCGUCGUCAGCUCGUGUCGUGAGAUGUUGGGUUAAGUCCCGUAACGAGCGCAACCCCUAUCCCUAGUUGCUAGCAGUUCGGCUGAGAACUCUAGGGAGUCUGCCGGUGACAAACCGGAGGAAGGUGGGGAUGACGUCAGGUCAUCAUGGCCCUUGCGGCCAGGGCUACACACGUGCUACAAUGGUGCGCACAGAGGGCUGCAAACCCGCGAGGGGGAGCUAAUCUCACAAAACGCAUCGUAGUCCGGAUCGGAGUCUGCAACUCGACUCCGUGAAGUCGGAAUCGCUAGUAAUCAUGAAUCAGAAUGUCACGGUGAAUACGUUCCCGGGCCUUGUACACACCGCCCGUCACACCAUGGGAGUGGAUUGCACCAGAAGUAGUUAGUCUAACCUUCGGGAGGACGAUUACCACGGUGUGGUUCAUGACUGGGGUGAAGUCGUAACAAGGUAACCGUA
rnacentral:rRNA from 1 species